UUUAACUUCGGUAUCAUGUCAUGUCUCCCUUUUGAUGAGACCCACAGUGAGGUCAAACCUGUGGGAAGACGUUCUCGGUUCUGGGAGUUGUGGUGGACGGCUGAGAGACAUCAUCCAGAACAAACAAGAAGACACUGAGAGAAGAUCCUGCCAAGCAGCAGACGCGUGUGUUUGAGGACACCAAAUACAAGAACAAAUAUGGUGCUACCGGAAUAGCAGCGACGAAUCCCCGUGUCUUUCACAGUGGAUGUGGCAGUCACAUUUUUAGGCACUCAAACAAAUUGUCUGAGGACGUCACCGUUUGCGUCUGUGCCAACAUACAAGGGCUAUACAACCUCCAAGAGCGAGGCGGUGUGACUGACUCACAAGCGCUCAUCUAAUCCCUGUUCUUUUGUUUUCUAGUUGACAACAAACUCAAGACCCACACUUCAUCUUGGCCGUGCUGUCACUUCUACUCUUGCCGCCAUAUGAUUCAGCCUUUUCAUUCACUGUGUGCGUAAACCUUCAGAGGGGUUGACAGACUGAUCGACAGAUGUGCCCCGUAUUCACUCCGCUCUCCUUUUUUGCUUUGGGCUGACUCAAGACCGGAUACACAGAGCUCCCGGCUGCCUCCGCACUCUACAAAUGUGUAGUACUAUCAGUGCAGCAUCCAAUGCUCACAAACACUCAUACAGAAGAUAUUACUGUCACUGUACACAAGCAAGCAGAGGAGCAACAACAAAAGAUUUCUUUCACAAAAUUCUGGUCUUUUUUAUGUAUUUUUGCUGCUGUGAGCUACAGCAUCUAAUCUUCUGCUUCUUCAUCUGAAAAAGUGUCAAUAGUUUUAUUGUUUGUUAAUCCUGUUGUGCUUCUUUCUUUUUCAGUGGGUCUGUGGUAAAUCUUUAAAGUGCUUUGAAACUUCAUUUUGAAAGCUGCCAUAUAGUAUAUUACAUUUUUAUAAUCAGUUUUUGUGGAUGAAACCUACACCGUGGCUCGAUGAGAUGGCAAUGUCCACCCCUUCAGUCCACUGACUGAAAUAUCUCAACAACUAUUAGAUGGAUUUCUGUGAUACUGAGUAAAGAUAUUCACGGUUCCCAGAGGAUGAGUCCUACUGACAUUGGUGACCUCUGACUUUUUAUCUAAUGACACCAGCUGGUCAAAGUUUUACAUAUCCACUGAAAUAUCUCAACAUUUACUAGAUUGGAACAAAAUCUUGCACAGACAUUCAUGUUCCUCACAGGAUGAGUUGUAAUAUCUUCACGUUGUGUUUAGUGUCAUUAUGAAAUGUUGGCAUCCAAACAUACUAAACUGCAUGGUGACAAUGGUAAAUGUUACUGCUAAACAUCAGCAUGUUAGCAUUGUCAUUAUGAGCAUGUAGACUGUUGUCUUAUGUGCACAUGUCCACAAUGCACUUGAAAAAUUACAUGAACCUCUGUGCUUAAGAAAACGAUUUCAAAGCAGUUGCAUGAAAUAAAAAGAUGAAA